AGAGUUUGAUCCUGGCUCAGAUUGAACGCUGGCGGCAUGCCUUACACAUGCAAGUCGAACGGCAGCACGGGUGCUUGCACCUGGUGGCGAGUGGCGAACGGGUGAGUAAUGUAUCGGAACGUACCAUUCAGUGGGGGAUAACUAUCCGAAAGGAUAGCUAAUACCGCAUAUUCUGUGAGCAGGAAAGCAGGGGAUCGCAAGACCUUGCGCUGAUUGAGCGGCCGAUAUCAGAUUAGCUAGUUGGUGGGGUAAAAGCCUACCAAGGCGACGAUCUGUAGCGGGUCUGAGAGGAUGAUCCGCCACACUGGAACUGAGACACGGUCCAGACUCCUACGGGAGGCAGCAGUGGGGAAUUUUGGACAAUGGGCGAAAGCCUGAUCCAGCCAUGCCGCGUGAGUGAAGAAGGCCUUCGGGUUGUAAAGCUCUUUCGGCCGGGAAGAAAUCGUAUAGGUUAAUACCCUGUGUGGAUGACGGUACCGGAAUAAGAAGCACCGGCUAACUACGUGCCAGCAGCCGCGGUAAUACGUAGGGUGCGAGCGUUAAUCGGAAUUACUGGGCGUAAAGCGUGCGCAGGCGGUUUUUUAAGGCAGGCGUGAAAUCCCCGGGCUUAACCUGGGAACUGCGCUUGUGACUGGAAGGCUAGAGUACGGCAGAGGGGGGUGGAAUUCCACGUGUAGCAGUGAAAUGCGUANAGAUGUGGA
rnacentral:rRNA from 1 species